rnacentral:rRNA from 1 species
GUUGUUAAGGAACUCGGCAAAUUGACCCCGUAAGUUCGCAAUAAGGGGUGCCUCAGAAAUGAGGUCGCAGAGAAUAGGCCCAAGCAACUGUUUAACAAAAACACAGGUCUCUGCUAAAUCGAAAGAUGAAGUAUAGGGGCUGACGCCUGCCCGGUGCUGGAAGGUCACGGGAAUCUGUCAACGAAAGUGAAGCAGUGAACUUAAGCCCCAGUAAACGGCGGCCGUAACAAUAACGGUCCUAAGGUAGCGAAAUUCCUUGUCAGGUAAGUUCUGACCCGCACGAAUGGCGUAAUGAUUUGGGCACUGUCUCAACAACGUACCCGGCGAAAUUGUAGUACUUGUGAAGAUGCAAGUUACCCGCGACUAGACGGAAAGACCCCAUGGAGCUUUACUGUAGCCUGAUACUGGGUUUCGGUAUUCUUUGUACAGGAUAGGUGGGAGGUUAGGAAGUAUGGACGCCAGUUCAUAUGGAACCGACGUUGGGAUACCACUCUAAGAAUACUGGAACUCUAACCUGAGGCCAUAAGCUGGUCUAGGGACACUGUCAGGUGGGCAGUUUGACUGGGGCGGUCGCCUCCCAAAAGGUAACGGAGGCGUUCAAAGGUUACCUCAGCGCGGUUGGAAAUCGCGCAACGUGUGCAAAGGCAUAAGGUAGCCUGACUGCGAGACAGACAAGUCGAGCAGGUACGAAAGUAGGACUUAGUGAUCCGGCGGUAUGAAAGUGGAAUUGCCGUCGCUCAACGGAUAAAAGCUACCCUGGGGAUAACAGGCUGAUCUCCCCCAAGAGUCCACAUCGACGGGGAGGUUUGGCACCUCGAUGUCGGCUCAUCGCAUCCUGGAGCUGAAGUAGGUUCCAAGGGUUUGGCUGUUCGCCAAUUAAAGCGGUACGCGAGCUGGGUUCAGAACGUCGUGAGACAGUUCGGUCCCUAUCUGUCGCGGGCGCAGGAUAUUUGAAGGGAUCUGUCCUUAGUACGAGAGGACCGGGAUGGACGAACCUCUGGUGUACCAGUUGUACUACCAAGUGCAUAGCUGGGUAGCCAAGUUCGGAAGGGAUAAACGCUGAAGGCAUCUAAGCGUGGAACCCACCCUAAGAUGAGAUAUCCCACCGUAAGGGUAAGACCCCAUGUAGACUACAUGGUUGAUAGGCCAGAGGUGUAAGUGCAGUAAUGUAUUUAGCUGACUGGUACUAAUAGGUCGAGGGCUUGACCU